GCGACGCCGCGUGAGGGAUGACGGCCUUCGGGUUGUAAACCUCUUUCAGCAGGGACGAAGCGAAAGUGACGGUACCUGCAGAAGAAGCACCGGCCAACUACGUGCCAGCAGCCGCGGUAAUACGUAGGGUGCGAGCGUUGUCCGGAAUUACUGGGCGUAAAGAGCUCGUAGGCGGUUUGUCGCGUCGUCUGUGAAAACCAGCAGCUCAACUGCUGGCUUGCAGGCGAUACGGGCAGACUUGAGUACUGCAGGGGAGACUGGAAUUCCUGGUGUAGCGGUGAAAUGCGCAGAUAUCAGGAGGAACACCGGUGGCGAAGGCGGGUCUCUGGGCAGUAACUGACGCUGAGGAGCGAAAGCGUGGGUAGCGAACAGGAUUAGAUACCCUGGUAGUCCACGCCGUAAACGGUGGGUACUAGAUGUGGGUUCCUUUCACCGGAACCCGGGCCGAACUUAAGCAAUUAAUACCCCCCCCGGGGAAUUACGGCCGCAGGGUUAAAACUAAAGGAAUAUAACGGGGCCCCCCAAAACCGGCGAACCAGGGGAAUAAUUUCAUGCCACGGCGAAAAACCUUACCGGGUUUGAACUAUUACCGAAAACCCUAAAGAAACCGGCCCCC
rnacentral:rRNA from 1 species